GCAUCGAUAGCUUAGUAGCAGAGCAGUGGGAUGUUAACUCAUGCGGCCCGGGUUUGAGCCCCUGUCGAUGCA